GACGAAGGGGGCUAGCGUUGCUCGGAAUUACUGGGCGUAAAGCGCGUGUAGGCGGCUGUUCGAGUUGGGCGUGAAAGCCUUGGGCUUAACCCAAGAAAUGCGCUCAAUACUGGAUAGCUAGAGGACCGGAGAGGAUAGUGGAAUUCCCAGUGUAGUGGUGAAAUACGUAGAGAUUGGGAAAAACACCAGUGGCGAAGGCGGCUAUCUGGACGGUUUCUGACGCUAAGACGCGAAAGCGUGGGGAGCAAACAGG
rnacentral:rRNA from 1 species